CUGCCUUUAGUUGCCAGCGAUUCGGUCGGGCACUCUAAAGGGACUGCCGGUGUCAAACCGGAGGAAGGUGGGGAUGACGUCAAGUCCUCAUGGCCUUUAUGGCCAGGGCUACACACGUACUACAAUGGACGGUACAAAGGGCAGCGAACUUGCGAGAGUUAGCGAAUCCCGAAAAGCCGUUCUCAGUCCGGAUUGGAGUCUGCAACUCGACUCCAUGAAGUUGGAAUCGCUAGUAAUCGUGGAUCAGCAUGCCACGGUGAAUACGUUCCCGGGCCUU
rnacentral:rRNA from 1 species